UACGGGGGGGGGGCAAGCGUUGUUCGGAAUUACUGGGCGUAAAGGGCGCGUAGGCGGCUUGUCAAGUCACUUGUGAAAUCUCUGGGCUUAACCCCAGAACGGCCAAGUGAAACUGACAUGCUAGAGUGCAGAAGGGGCAAUCGGAAUUCUUGGUGUAGCGGUGAAAUGCGUAGAUAUCAAGAGGAACACCUGAGGUGAAGACGGGUUGCUGGGCUGACACUGACGCUGAGGCGCGAAAGCCAGGGGAGCAAACGGG
rnacentral:rRNA from 1 species